rnacentral:rRNA from 1 species
UACGUAGGUGGCAAGCGUUGUCCGGAAUUAUUGGGCGUAAAGCGCGCGCAGGCGGUCCUUUAAGUCUGAUGUGAAAGCCCACGGCUCAACCGUGGAGGGUCAUUGGAAACUGGGGGACUUGAGUACAGAAGAGAAGAGUGGAAUUCCACGUGUAGCGGUGAAAUGCGUAGAGAUGUGGAGGAACACCAGUGGCGAAGGCGACUCUUUGGUCUGUA